UACAGAGGGCGCAAGCGUUAAUCGGAAUUACUGGGCGUAAAGCGUGCGUAGACGGUCAUGUAAGUCGGGUGUGAAAGCCCCGGGCUCAACCUGGGAAUUGCAUUCGAGACUGCAUGGCUAGGAUGCGGAAGAGGGAAGCGGAAUUUCCGGUGUAGCGGUGAAGUGCGUAGAUAUCGGAAGGAACACCAGUGGCGAAAGCGGCUUCCUGGUCCAGCAUCGACGUUCAGGCACGAAAGCGUGGGGAGCAAACAGG
rnacentral:rRNA from 1 species